rnacentral:rRNA from 1 species
GAUGAACGCUGGCGGCGUGCCUAACACAUGCAAGUCGAGCGGCAGCGAGGGGUGCUUGCACCCUGUCGGCGAGCGGCGGACGGCUGAGUAACGCGUGGGAACGUGCCCCAAAGUGAGGAAUAACUUCCCGAAAGGGUAGCUAAUACCGCAUAUUAUCUUCGGAUCAAAGGAUUUAUCCGCUUUGGGAGCGGCUCGCGUCGGAUUAGGUAGUUGGUGAGGUAAUGUCUCACCAAGCCGACGAUCCGUAGCUGGUCUGAGAGGAUGACCAGCCAGACUGGAACUGAGACACGGUCCAGACUCCUACGGGAGGCAGCAGUGAGGAAUCUUCCACAAUGGGCGAAAGCCUGAUGGAGCAACGCCGCGUGCAGGACGAAGGCCUUCGGGUUGUAAACUGCUUUUAUAAGUGAGGAAUAUGACGGUAACUUAUGAAUAAGGAUCGGCUAACUACGUG